rnacentral:tRNA from 1 species
GGCGGAAUUGGUAAACGCACUAGACUUUUAAUCUAGCGAAACAGGCACUCAAAAUGCCUUUUUUAUUUGCACAGGUUCGAAUCCUGUCGAGACCA